AAAAUCCGUCUUCGUCGCGGUUAAAAAAAAAAAGCCUCUCGGUCGCCAUGGGUUCGCCUCACCCUCACCCACGGGAGGUAGGGGAGACGGGGAGUGGAGGUUGUGGUCGAAAGGGAGCGGAGUGGUGCGGCUGCGGCCUGAUGUUGGUGGUGGAGAGGAAGAGGGCGGCGAGGACGAGGCGGCAGAUUUGCUCGCGGCGUCGGCACCUCGUGAACGUCGACGACCCGCCGGCGCUCUGGUACGACUCCAUGGCGCACUGCCCCGAGUGUGCGGCGGCGGUCAUGCGCGAGACGGCCGUCCACUGCUGCUGCGUUUGACAAGGCGGCGGUCCUCCGGGAGCAGGGUCCCCGAAGCCACCAUGGCGUAGGCGGGCGGAUCCAAUUGAAGGAACACGGUGAGAUUCGCCACAACUUGCAAGUCGCUGGGUUCAGUUUCGGCACUUUUUCAGAUUUGACAAAAAUAAAAUCAAAAGCCACACUCCAGUGAGACUCUUCCAUGAUCACAUCCCUACAGAGGAGUAUGAAACAAACGUCUCCAUAUCAUGCCCACAAAGUGAACAAUUACUUAGUCCCUGCACUUGUCUUCGUUUUAGUUCUGCUGCACACGGCCGCAAGUUCUUCAGAGCCCUCCGUCCCAACACUCACUUGGGCAUCUGAAAGUGUAGAUUUUGUACAAUUAGGCCUUGUUUGGCCUCAAGGGGAGAUGUUCCCAGGGAAGAGUUGCCCUGGGUGGAAUAUUCUUAGCAAAACAGAAUCCCCUUGGAAAAUCCGCUUCACCAUUUCGGAGGAGCAGGGGCUAAUAGCUUCUUCUCGGGUCAACUGCUCAUACUCUUUUUUGACAGGGUGAAUUGCUCAUACUCGUUGCAACCCUUUUUUUCCCCAUCUUCUCAGUAGCCAAUUUGUAUUGUUAGUACCAUGUCAUGCUUUCCUACAUCGUUCUUGUGUUCAAUAGAAAACUCUUAUUCCACUAUUGACAUGCAAAAGUGUUUAAUGACUCACUCUAAUUAGUUACACAUGUGAAAUAUAUGGGAUAUGGCCAACUAUGAUUAGCUGCAUAAUUUUUUCUACAGAAAGCUUAGUAUGUAUGCUGUGCACAAAAAUAUUUUGUCAUCUUCAGUGAGGCAUAAAUGUUAAAAAGAGGCUAGGGGAAUAUGAUUUGUUCAAUGAAUAUGUGCAUAAUUUCUUUUUGGAAAUGUAUUGCACUUUACGUAGCAAAUAAUAUAAAUAUUGAUGGUGAAUAAAAUGGAACAAAUAUUUGGAUAGAAACCAAUGAUUGAAUGGUGGCAGAAGGUUCAGUAUAUGGUAGAAGAUGUGCUAUGCUGUUCCUACCUUGUGCAUAGAAGUACUUCCGUAAUUGUGUUUAAUUUGUGAGCAAAUACUACUCUUUUGAUGCUGAAACUACCACAACAGGGGACGUUUCUGCCUUUCUGGCCUCAUUUACCUGGGCAUGAAGUUAUGUUCUGGUGAAGAAUGUCCAUUAUACAUGGUAUCCAAGCGGUCUUGUUCUCAAAUAAGAGAAGGGUCUUCUCAUGCUGGCCAAUAAGUUAGGGAAAACAUGCAAGGAACGAACGGUCAUGGGGGAUGUUCUUGGGGCUGGGAUGAGAAGCUGUGAUGGACAUUGAUAUACUUCUUGCGGAGUUCGGAGAAGAGGAUGAGCUGGAUUUUAGUGAGGGGAUUUGUGGAAAGUGAGGAGAGUACGUUCUUGAGCUCCUGGAGGACCAGACCAUCCAAAUCUGGAAGGUUUCUGUGAUAUGAAAUACUUAAUCCUUGCGGUGACGGUCAUUUGUUUUUGUGAGCUUCUAACAUAAUGUGAUUUGGCAGCUUUGAGACUUGGGAAGUAUACUGUCGUUGAAACAAGCAACAUCUUGACGUAUUUCAGACUUGGGAAGUAUAGAGUUUUUCUUGCAGUUUAUGAAGUCUGCACUGCAAGAAGUAGAACUUUGACCCCUUAUCAACGGAAGACUCUGGCAGUUACUCAGUUUCUACCAGUUUAGUUACUGAAACCUCUUUUGAAAGUUUUCUCUUGUAAUUUCCUGUACCCUGACUGAAUUUACAUGACUUGCAGCACAGUUCACAGUUAAUGAUAUGAAAAAGAGGAAGCAGCAUUCCACA